UACGGAGGAUGCAAGCGUUAUCCGGAUUCAUUGGGUUUAAAGGGUGCGCAGGCGGAUUAUUAAGUCAGUGGUGAAAUCCUACAGCUCAACUGUAGAACUGCCAUUGAUACUGAUAAUCUUGAGUGUAUUUGAAGUGGGCGGAAUGUAGCAUGUAGCGGUGAAAUGCAUAGAUAUGCUACAGAACACCAAUUGCGAAGGCAGCUCACUAAACUACAACUGACGCUCAUGCA
rnacentral:rRNA from 1 species